rnacentral:rRNA from 1 species
UACGUAGGUGACAAGCGUUGUCCGGAUUUACUGGGCGUAAAGAGCGCGCAGGCGGUCGUUCAAGUCGAGUGUGAAAGCCCCCGGCUCAACUGGGGAGGGUCACUCGAUACUGAUCGACUCGAAGGCAGGAGAGGGAAGUGGAAUUCCCGGUGUAGUGGUGAAAUGCGCAGAUAUCAGGAGGAACACCCGUGGCGAAAGCGGCUCUCUGGGACGGUACUGACGCUGAGACGCGAAAGCGUGGGGAGCAAACAGG